GGAAAACCUUUUAAGAUCUGAAAAUAAGGAUGAUGUUUUACUGGCGUUUCAAAUAGCUUUUGAUCUAAUAGAGAAUGAAAACCAAGCUUUUCUAUUGAAUGUGAGAGAUCGGCUCUCAAAACCCAAAUCCCUACCUACAGAACCUGUGCAGCCAGUAUCUGCUGAGCCAGAACCUGUGCAGCCAGUAUCUGCUGAGCCAGAAUCUGCUCAAAAUGCAACUGCCUCUACAUCUGAGGAUGUUCAGAUGACAAAUGGAACUCAAGCUGUUCCUGAGAGCAUGCCAAUUGCAGAUCCAAAGGAGGUAACAUAUGCUGAGCGGCUG
rnacentral:lncRNA from 1 species